rnacentral:tRNA from 1 species
UCCCUGGUGGCUCAGUGGUAAAGCAUCUGCCUGCAGUGCAGGAGCCACAGGAGACCCGGGUUUGAUACCUGGUUCUGGAA